GAUGAAGAACGUAGCGAAAUGCGAUACUUGGUGUGAAUUGCAGAAUCCCGUGAACCAUCGAGUCUUUGAACGCAAGUUGCGCCCGAAGCCAUUAGGCCGAGGGCACGUCUGCCUGGGCGUCACACGUCGUUGCCCCCCCCAACCCCCUCGGGAGUUGGAUGGGACGGAUGAUGGCCUCCCGUGUGCUCAGUCACGCGGUUGGCAUAAAUACCAAGUCCUCGGCGACCAACGCCACGACCAUCGGUGGUUGUCAAACCUCGGUUUCCUGUCGUGCGCGCGUGUUGAUCGAGUGCUUUCUUAAACAAUGCGUGUCGAUCCGUCGAUGCUUUCAACGCGACCCCACGUCAGGCGGGGUUACCCGCUGAAUUUAAGCAUAUCAAUAAGCGGAGGA
rnacentral:misc_RNA from 1 species